CCUACGGGAGGCUGCAGUGGGGAAUAUUGCACAAUGGGGGAAACCCUGAUGCAGCGACGCCGCGUGAGUGAAGAAGGAUUUCGGUACGUAAAGCUCUAUCAGCAGGGAAGAAAAAAAGUCCUUAGGACUUUGGACGGCACCGGACCAAGAAGCGCCGGCGAACUACGUGACAGCAGCCGCGGUAAUACGUAGGGGACAAGCGUUAUCCGGAUUUACUGGGUGUAACGGGAGCGUAGACGGCAGCGCAAGUCUGGAGUGAAAUGCCGGGGCCCAACCCCGGAACUGCUUUUGAAACUGUGCAGCUGGAGUGCAGGAGAGGUAAGCGGAAUUCCUCUUGUAGCGGUGAAAUGCGUAGAUAUUAGGAGGAACACCAGUGGCGAAGGCGGCUUACUGGACUGUAACUGACGUUGAGGCUCGAAAGCGUGGGGAGCAAACAGGAUUAGAUACCCUUGUAGUC
rnacentral:rRNA from 1 species